rnacentral:misc_RNA from 1 species
GAUGAAGAACGCAGCGAAAUGCGAUAAGUAAUGUGAAUUGCAGAAUUCAGUGAAUCAUCGAAUCUUUGAACGCACAUUGCGCCCGCCAGUAUUCUGCGGGCAUGCCUGUUCGAGCGUCAUUUCAACCAUCAAGCCCCCGGCUUGUGUUGGGGACCUGCGGCUGCCGCAGGCCCUGAAAACCAGUGGCGGGCUCGCUGUCACACCGAGCGUAGUAGAUUUUCAUCUCGCUCAGGGCGUGCUGCGGGUUCCGGCCGUAAAAAGCCUUAUUUACCCAAGGUUGACCUCGGAUCAGGUAGGAAGACCCGCUGAACUUAAGCAUAUCAAUAAGCGGAGGA